UACGGAGGAUCCGAGCGUUAUCCGGAAUUAUUGGGUUUAAAGGGUGCGUAGGCGGCCAUUUAAGUCAGCGGUGAAAUUUUGCAGCUUAACUGUAACAGUACCGUUGAUACUGUUUGGCUAGGAUUUGGUUGUAGUGUGCGGAAUGUGUGGUGUAGCGGUGAAAUGCUUAGAUAUCACACAGAACACCGAUUGCGAAGGCAGCACACUAAGUCAUUAUUGACGCUGAGGCACGAAAGUGUGGGGAUCAAACAGGAUUAGAUACCCGGGUA
rnacentral:rRNA from 1 species